GGGUAAACAGCUUGUAAAGAUACGAUUGUAAGAAUUAUCACAUGUAAUAAAGUAAAUUGUUACAUUCAUAACCUUUGGGCUCCGAUGGUCAGUAAUGAAAGCACGGAAUGAGUCAAACAAAUAACAACAGUGUAUAAACUGUCUAAUAAACACGUUUAAAUAUAUGCGUCAGUAUGCAAAUCUAUCACACCUUGGGUAAAAUAUUACCAUGCAGUAAAACAAUUAUCAUGCAGUUACACUUAUAUUCAUACUUGCGCUUAAUAUUACCCGUAAAUCAUUGGCCAUGCAUGAGAG